GGCCUAUCAGCUAGUUGUGGGGGUAACGGCCUACCAAGGCAACGACGGGUAGCUGGUUUGAGAGAACGAUCAGCCACACUGGGACUGAGACACGGCCCAGACUCCUACGGGAGGCAGCAGUGGGGAAUCUUGCGCAAUGGGGCGAAAGCCUGACGCAGCAACGCCGCGUGCGGGGAUGACGGGCCUUCGUGGUUGUAAACCGCUUUCAGCAGGGCGAAAAUGACGGUACCUGCAGAAGAAGCCCCGGCUAACUACGUGCCAGCAGCCGCGGUAAUACGUAGGGGGCAAGCGUUGUCCGGAUUCAUUGGGCGUAAAGAGCUCGUAGGCGGUUCAGUAAGUCGGGUGUGAAAGCUCCGAGCUCAACUCGGAGAGGCCACCCGAUACUGCUGUGACUUGAGUCCAGUAGAGGA
rnacentral:rRNA from 1 species